rnacentral:rRNA from 1 species
UACAGAGGGGGCAAGCGUUGUUCGGAAUUACUGGGCGUAAAGGGCGCGUAGGCGGCCUGCUAAGUCGAACGUGAAAUCCCUGGGCUCAACCCAGGAACUGCGUCCGAUACUGGUUGGCUUGAAUCCGGGAGAGGGACGUGGAAUUCCAGGUGUAGCGGUGAAAUGCGUAGAUAUCUGGAGGAACACCGGUGGCGAAGGCGGCAUCCUGGACCAAUUCUGACGCUGAGGAGCGAAAGCCAGGGGAGCAAACGGG